UACGGAGGGGGCUAGCGUUGUUCGGAAUUGCUGGGCGUAAAGCGCACGUAGGCGGACUGUUAAGUCGGGGGUGAAAUCCUGGGGCUCAACCUCAGAAUUGCCUCCGAUACUGGCAGUCUCGAGUGCGGGAGAGGUGAGUGGAAUUCCCAGUGUAGAGGUGAAAUUCGUAGAUAUUGGGAAGAACACCAGUGGCGAAGGCGGCUCACUGGCCCGUAACUGACGCUGAGGUGCGAAAGCGUGGGGAGCAAACAGG
rnacentral:rRNA from 1 species